ACUAAAGCUGCUGGAUCCAUGCUGGAAAUAACCUUUUAAAAUGACAAUAUCCAAGCCAGCACAAUACUGUUUGGGUUUGCAAGUGUGAAAAGGGUAUAAGAGCUUGAUACAGAAGGGUCAGUAUCAAGAGCCUGUAGUCCAGACUAGGUAUUUCAGGCUCUGUAGUCCAGGCUCUGUAGUCCAGGCUCUGUAGUCCAGACUCUGUAGUCCAGACUCUGUAGUCCAGGCUCUGUAGUCCAGGCUCUGUAGUCCAGGCUCUGUAGUCCAGGCUCUGUAGUCCAGGCUCUGUAGUCCAGACUCUGUAGUCCAGGCUCUGUAGUCCAGGCUAGGUAUUUCAGGCUCUGUAGUCCAGGCUCUGUAGUCUAGACUCUGUAGUCCAGACUAGAUAUUUCAGGCUCUGUAGUCCAGGCUCUGUAGUCCAGGCUCUGUAGUCCAGACUCUGUAGUCCAGACUAGAUAUUUCAGGCUCUGUAGUCCAGGCUCUGUAGUCCAGGCUCUGUAGUCCAGACUAGGUAUUUCAGGCUCUGUAGUCCAGGCUCUGUAGUCCAGACUAGGUAUUUCAGGCUCUGUAGUCCAGACUAGGUAUUUCAGGCUCUGUAGUCUAGACUCUGUAGUCCAGACUAGAUAUUUCAGGCUCUGUAGUCCAGGCUCUGUAGUCCAGGCUCUGUAGUCCAGGCUCUGUAGUCUAGACUCUGUAGUCCAGACUAGAUAUUUCAGGCUCUGUAGUCCAGGCUCUGUAGUCCAGGCUCUGUAGUCCAGACUAGAUAUUUCAGGCUCUGUAGUCCAGGCUCUGUAGUCCAGACUAGGUAUUUCAGGCUCUGUGAUCUUCGACCCUAUAGUAUAAAUACAAAGAACUGUACAUAAAUAUGUGUAUAAACCUAAGAGGUAAAGAGUAAUGUAAAGGCAAAUCUAUUAUUAUACAUAUAUAUUAAUAUAUGUGAUGAUAUAUUUAUUAUGUGUAGAGAUAUGAUAUGAUAAAUAAUGUGAUGUUUA